rnacentral:hammerhead_ribozyme from 1 species
AUGCAGCUGACGAAUCCUAAAUAGGACGAAACUCGUGUCCUGAAU